GACGGAGGAUGCAAGCGUUAUCCGGAAUGAUUGGGCGUAAAGCGUCCGCAGGUGGCAGUUCAAGUCUGCUGUCAAAGACCGGGGCUUAACUUCGGAAAGGCAGUGGAAACUGAACAGCUAGAGUAUGGUAGGGGCAGAGGGAAUUCCUGGUGUAGCGGUGAAAUGUGUAGAGAUCAGGAAGAACAUCGGUGGCGAAGGCGCUCUGCUGGACCAUAACUGACACUCAGGGACGAAAGCUAGGGGAGCGAAUGGG
rnacentral:rRNA from 1 species